GAUGAACGCUGGCGGCGUGCCUAAUACAUGCAAGUCGAGCGAACGGACGAGAAGCUUGCUUCUCUGAUGUUAGCGGCGGACGGGUGAGUAACACGUGGAUAACCUACCUAUAAGACUGGGAUAACUUCGGGAAACCGGAGCUAAUACCGGAUAAUAUUUUGAACCGCAUGGUUCAAAAGUGAAAGACGGUCUUGCUGUCACUUAUAGAUGGAUCCGCGCUGCAUUAGCUAGUUGGUAAGGUAACGGCUUACCAAGGCAACGAUGCAUAGCCGACCUGAGAGGGUGAUCGGCCACACCGGAACGGGGACGCGGUCCAGACUCCUACGGGAGGCAGCAGUAGGGAAUCUUCCGCAAUGGGCGAAAGCCUGACGGAGCAACGCCGCGUGAGUGAUGAAGGUCUUCGGAUCGUAAAACUCUGUUAUUAGGGAAGAACAUAUGUGUAAGUAACUGUGCACAUCUUGACGGUACCUAAUCAGAAAGCCACGGCUAACUACGUG
rnacentral:rRNA from 1 species